rnacentral:snoRNA from 1 species
AAGACUAUACUUUCAGGGAUCAUUUCUAUAGUUCGUUAAGAGAGAAAUUUGAAGCAUAAGAGGAAUCCAGCAUAAGGAAGAUUUUAUGUUUCUGACUUUGAAGAAGGAGAAGGUCGUAUGGCCAGAGGUGGCUCGUAUACACAGUAAAGACUGAGAAACAUUGAUUUACAGA